UGUGAAGUGACUGUGACAGGAAAGGUUGUUUUGAAUUUUUAACAAUAGAUCAUUAUUAGUGUUUUUUUUUAUUUUGUUUUCUCUUUUCCAUUAGUUGUACGUUUUGUCGAGGUGGGAACCACAAUACUGAUUCAACCACUGGCAGAACAAUCCUCCAAAUAAAUUGUUACCAUAAUCCUCCUGCCACGUUUGGGGUUUUGUAGUCUGUUUAAAGCACCAGUUUGUAGUUCUGAGCCAUACUUUCAAUCUUUUUCAGCAGGGUUUCACCUCCAAACAUGGAAUGGGGUCUUGCAUAGUGAAUGUGGGCACAUUUUUACAACAACGUCUUGUGAGCAUCCACACAAGUAUACGUUCAGACCACAGAGGGACUCAGAUCAUUGUUGCAGAGCACACGCCCCACAUCUGGAACAUAUCCUACAGGCUGUUGUCAUUAGCGACCAUCGGAAGACUGAAUAAAUAAGCUUCCCAUCUGCACUCAUGUGAUGCUUUG